CAGCAGGCAGAUUCAUUUUCUGCCACCGAAUACAUUAGCAUGGGAUAAUGGAAUAGGACCCUGUCCUCCUAUUUUCAGUUGGUUUUGGCAGCGCGAGGACUAGGGUAAUGAUUAAUAGGGAUAGUUGGGGGCAUUAAUAUUUAAUUGUCAGAGGUGAAAUUCUUGGAUUUAUGAAAGAUUAACUUCUGCGAAAGCAUCUGCCAAGGAUGUUUUCAUUAAUCAAGAACGAAAGUUAGGGGAUCGAAGACGAUCAGAUACCGUCGUAGUCUUAACCAUAAACGAUGCCGACCAGCGAUUAGGAGACGUUGAAUACAAAACACCACCAUCGGCGCGGUCGCCCUUGGCGUUUUUGUGUUCACACGGGGGCGCGGGAGGGU
rnacentral:rRNA from 1 species